AUGCUCCUGGGAUGACAUGCACUGGGCUCUGAGACCACAUGAAGAUUCUGUGCAACUUUGGCCCUGACAAGCCAGAGUUUCUGAGGAGAUU